UGGGGAAUAUUGGGGCAAUGGACGAAAGUCUGACCCAGCGACGCCGCGUGAGGGAAGAAGGUCUUCGGAUUGUAAACCUCUGUUGACAGGGAAGAAGUAAGUGACGGUACCUGUCGAGGAAGCCACGGCUAACUACGUGCCAGCAGCCGCGGUAAUACGUAGGUGGCAAGCGUUAUCCGGAAUUACUGGGUGUAAAGGGUGUGUAGGCGGGACUGCAAGUCAGAUGUGAAAACUAUUGGCUUAACCAAUAGCCUGCAUUUGAAACUGUGGUUCUUGAGUGUCGGAGAGGCAAUCGGAAUUCCUAGUGUAGCGGUGAAAUGCGUAGAUAUUAGGAGGAACACCAGUGGCGAAGGCGGAUUGCUGGACAGCAACUGACGGUGAGGCGCGAAAGUGUGGGGAGCAAACAGGAUUAGAUACCCUGGUAGU
rnacentral:rRNA from 1 species